UACGAAGGGGGCUAGCGUUGUUCGGAAUCACUGGGCGUAAAGGGCGCGUAGGCGGCCGAUCAAGUCGGGGGUGAAAGCCUGUGGCUCAACCACAGAAUUGCCUUCGAUACUGGUUGGCUUGAGACCGGAAGAGGUAAGUGGAACUGCGAGUGUAGAGGUGAAAUUCGUAGAUAUUCGCAAGAACACCAGUGGCGAAGGCGGCUUACUGGUCCGGUUCUGACGCUGAGGCGCGAAAACGUGGGGAGCAAACAGG
rnacentral:rRNA from 1 species